CAAAACUUUCAACAACGGAUCUCUUGGUUCUGGCAUCGAUGAAGAACGCAGCGAAAUGCGAUAAGUAGUGUGAAUUGCAGAAUUCAGUGAAUCAUCGAAUCUUUGAACGCACAUUGC
rnacentral:rRNA from 1 species